ACCACAGCAAACAUAUGAUGCUGCUCCAUCAGUUGAUAAUAAGCAUGGAAAACGUCUGAAGGUCAGUUGGCACUACAGGUUGGCUUCUACUUGAAAUGGAACCUUAAAGCCUUUGAAGAAAGUUUGUCAUUGCACUGGCAAAACCUGUUUUUCAAUGAACUAUUAAAGCUUCAAACACCAUCAUACCAAAAUGUGAAGAAUGGAUUGGUAUCGCUCAAGGAACUCAAUGAAAAAUCUGCCAUGGCUCUUAUUAUAUAUUGUCGCUGGUGA